rnacentral:rRNA from 1 species
AGUGGGUAGUCCGCACGAGCGCACCCUGAUCCUUAGUUGCCAGCACGUUAUGGUGGGGACUCUAAGGAUACCGCCUGGGACAACCGGGAGGAAGGUGGGGAUGAUGUCAAGUCAGUAUGUCCCUUAUGCCCAGGGCUACACACGUGUUACAAUGGCAAGUACAAAGGGUCGCCAACUCGCGAGGGGGAGCUAAUCCUAUAAAACUUGCCCCAGUUCAGAUUGGAGUCUGCAACUCGACUCCAUGAAGCAGGAAUCGCUAGUAAUCGUGGAUCAGCACGCCACGGUGAAUACGUUCCCGGGUCUUGUACACACCGCCCGUCACGCCAUGGAAGUCAGCAGUACCCAAAGCAGGUCGCCUAACCUUCGGGAUGGAGCCUUUUAAGGUAAGGCUGGUAACUGGGGCGAAGUCGUAACAAGGUAGCCGUACCGGAAGGUGCGGCUGGAUCACCUCCUUUCU